rnacentral:rRNA from 1 species
GGGUUGUGAGGUUAAGCGACUAAGCGUACACGGUGGAUGCCCUGGCAGUCAGAGGCGAUGAAGGGCGUGCUAAUCUGCGAUAAGCGCCGGUAAGGUGAUAUGAACCGUUAUAACCGGCGAUACCCGAAUGGGGAAACCCAGUGUGAUUCGUCACACUAUCAUUAACUGAAUCCAUAGGUUAAUGAGGCGAACCGGGGGAACUGAAACAUCUAAGUACCCCGAGGAAAAGAAAUCAACCGAGAUUCCCCCAGUAGCGGCGAGCGAACGGGGAGGAGCCCAGAGCCUGAAUCAGCAUGUGUGUUAGUGGAAGCGUCUGGAAAGGCGCGCGAUACAGGGUGACAGCCCCGUACACAAAAGCGCAUGUGCUGUGAGCUCGAUGAGUAGGGCGGGACACGUGGUAUCCUGUCUGAAUAUGGGGGGACCAUCCUCCAAGGCUAAAUACUCCUGACUGACCGAUAGUGAACCAGUACCGUGAGGGAAAGGCGAAAAGAACCCCGGCGAGGGGAGUGAAAAAGAACCUGAAACCGUGUACGUACAAGCAGUGGGAGCACAGGUUUACCUGUGUGACUGCGUACCUUUUGUAUAAUGGGUCAGCGACUUAUAUUCUGUAGCAAGGUUAACCGUAUAGGGGAGCCGUAGGGAAACCGAGUCUUAACCGGGCGUUAAGUUGCAGGGUAUAGACCCGAAACCCGGUGAUCUAGCCAUGGGCAGGUUGAAGGUUGGGUAACACUAACUGGAGGACCGAACCGACUAAUGUUGAAAAAUUAGCGGAUGACCUGUGGCUGGGGGUGAAAGGCCAAUCAAACCGGGAGAUAGCUGGUUCUCCCCGAAAGCUAUUUAGGUAGCGCCUCGUGAAUUCAUCUCCGGGGGUAGAGCACUGUUUCGGCUAGGGGGCCAUCCCGGCUUACCAACCCGAUGCAAACUGCGAAUACCGGAGAAUGUUAUCACGGGAGACACACGGCGGGUGCUAACGUCCGUCGUGAAGAGGGAAACAACCCAGACCGCCAGCUAAGGUCCCAAAGUCAUGGUUAAGUGGGAAACGAUGUGGGAAGGCCCAGACAGCCAGGAUGUUGGCUUAGAAGCAGCCAUCAUUUAAAGAAAGCGUAAUAGCUCACUGGUCGAGUCGGCCUGCGCGGAAGAUGUAACGGGGCUAAACCAUGCACCGAAGCUGCGGCAGCGACGUUUAUGCGUUGUUGGGUAGGGGAGCGUUCUGUAAGCCUGUGAAGGUGUGUCGUGAGGCAUGCUGGAGGUAUCAGAAGUGCGAAUGCUGACAUAAGUAACGAUAAAGCGGGUGAAAAGCCCGCUCGCCGGAAGACCAAGGGUUCCUGUCCAACGUUAAUCGGGGCAGGGUGAGUCGACCCCUAAGGCGAGGCCGAAAGGCGUAGUCGAUGGGAAACGGGUUAAUAUUCCCGUACUUGGUGUUACUGCGAAGGGGGGACGGAGAAGGCUAUGUUGGCCGGGCGACGGUUGUCCCGGUUUAAGCGUGUAGGCUGGUUUUCCAGGCAAAUCCGGAAAAUCAAGGCUGAGGCGUGACGACGAGGCACUACGGUGCUGAAGCAACAAAUGCCCUGCUUCCAGGAAAAGCCUCUAAGCAUCAGGUAACAUCAAAUCGUACCCCAAACCGACACAGGUGGUCAGGUAGAGAAUACCAAGGCGCUUGAGAGAACUCGGGUGAAGGAACUAGGCAAAAUGGUGCCGUAACUUCGGGAGAAGGCACGCUGACACGUAGGUGAAGUGAUUUACUCAUGGAGCUGAAGUCAGUCGAAGAUACCAGCUGGCUGCAACUGUUUAUUAAAAACACAGCACUGUGCAAACACGAAAGUGGACGUAUACGGUGUGACGCCUGCCCGGUGCCGGAAGGUUAAUUGAUGGGGUCAGCGCAAGCGAAGCUCCUGAUCGAAGCCCCGGUAAACGGCGGCCGUAACUAUAACGGUCCUAAGGUAGCGAAAUUCCUUGUCGGGUAAGUUCCGACCUGCACGAAUGGCGUAAUGAUGGCCAGGCUGUCUCCACCCGAGACUCAGUGAAAUUGAACUCGCUGUGAAGAUGCAGUGUACCCGCGGCAAGACGGAAAGACCCCGUGAACCUUUACUAUAGCUUGACACUGAACAUUGAGCCUUGAUGUGUAGGAUAGGUGGGAGGCUUUGAAGUGUGGACGCCAGUCUGCAUGGAGCCGACCUUGAAAUACCACCCUUUAAUGUUUGAUGUUCUAACGUGGACCCGUAAUCCGGGUUGCGGACAGUGUCUGGUGGGUAGUUUGACUGGGGCGGUCUCCUCCUAAAGAGUAACGGAGGAGCACGAAGGUUGGCUAAUCCUGGUCGGACAUCAGGAGGUUAGUGCAAUGGCAUAAGCCAGCUUGACUGCGAGCGUGACGGCGCGAGCAGGUGCGAAAGCAGGUCAUAGUGAUCCGGUGGUUCUGAAUGGAAGGGCCAUCGCUCAACGGAUAAAAGGUACUCCGGGGAUAACAGGCUGAUACCGCCCAAGAGUUCAUAUCGACGGCGGUGUUUGGCACCUCGAUGUCGGCUCAUCACAUCCUGGGGCUGAAGUAGGUCCCAAGGGUAUGGCUGUUCGCCAUUUAAAGUGGUACGCGAGCUGGGUUUAGAACGUCGUGAGACAGUUCGGUCCCUAUCUGCCGUGGGCGCUGGAGAACUGAGGGGGGCUGCUCCUAGUACGAGAGGACCGGAGUGGACGCAUCACUGGUGUUCGGGUUGUCAUGCCAAUGGCACUGCCCGGUAGCUAAAUGCGGAAGAGAUAAGUGCUGAAAGCAUCUAAGCACGAAACUUGCCCCGAGAUGAGUUCUCCCUGAGACUUAGAGUCUCCUGAAGGAACGUUGAAGACGACGACGUUGAUAGGCCGGGUGUGUAAGCGCAGCGAUGCGUUGAGCUAACCGGUACUAAUGAACCGUGAGGCUUAACCUUACAACGCCGAAG